GAGCAUACAGUAUAUAUACACAUUAUAAAGUGUUAUAUAUAAUAUAUACAAAAAUAACGUAGAAUGAAUGUGGCCUAGUUAUGUUUAAUGGCAAGUCAUAGAAACGGAUCGCUUGGUCUACUAUCAGCUCUCCUUCAUGACCAGAACCGACUGGUAUUGUGCAGCCUAUUGUAAGAUACCUCCAGAUUCGCCUCCAGAAUCGCAUGACUCUCCGUUGGAUAUCAGCAUGUGUCGAGUGUUAUCCAGUGACCCGUCAUUGAUUUCUGGCUUUAUCCUCAGUGUUUACUGAAUCCUCACCCCAUUGAUGACAUAUCCUGGGUCUGCGAAGAGAACGAUGGG